GAUGAACGCUGGCGGCGCGCCUAAUACAUGCAAGUCGAGCGAACGGACGAGAAGCUUGCUUCUCUGAUGUUAGCGGAGGACGGGUGAGUAACACGUGGAUAACCUACCUAUAAGACUGGGAUAACUUCGGGAAACCGGAGCUAAUACCGGAUAAUAUUUUGAACCGCAUGGUUCAAAAGUGAAAGACGGUCUUGCUGUCACUUAUAGAUGGAUCCGCGCUGCAUUAGCUAGUUGGUAAGGUAACGGCUUACCAAGGCAACGAUGCAUAGCCGACCUGAGAGGGUGAUCGGCCACACUGGAACUGAGACACGGUCCAGACUCCUACGGGAGGCAGCAGUAGGGAAUCUUCCGCAAUGGGCGAAAGCCUGACGGAGCAACGCCGCGUGGGUGAUGAAGGUCUUCGGAUCGUAAAGCUCUGUUAUUAGGGAAGAACAUAUGUGUAAUUAACUGUGCACAUCUUGACGGUACCUAAUCAGAAAGCCACGGCUAACUACGUG
rnacentral:rRNA from 1 species